rnacentral:rRNA from 1 species
CCUACGGGAGGCAGCAGUGGGGAAUAUUGCACAAUGGGCGCAAGCCUGAUGCAGCGACGCCGCGUGCGGGAUGAAGGCCUUAGGGUUGUAAACCGCUUUUCAGCAGGGACGAAAUUGACGGUACCUGCAGAAGAAGCCCCGGCCAACUACGUGCCAGCAGCCGCGGUAAUACGUAGGGGGCGAGCGUUGUCCGGAUUUAUUGGGCGUAAAGAGCUCGUAGGCGGUCCGGUAAGUCGGAUGUGAAAUCUCCACGGCUUAACGUGGAGGGGUCAUUCGAAACUGCCAUGGCUAGAGUUUGGUAGAGGAGUGCGGAACUCCCGGUGUAGCGGUGAAAUGCGCAGAUAUCGGGAAGAACACCCGCAGCGAAGGCGGCACUCUGGGCCAAUACUGACGCUGAGGAGCGAAAGCGUGGGGAGCAAACAGGAUUAGAUACCCUGGUAGUCCACGCCGUAAACGUUGGGCACUAGGUGUGGGGAUCUAUCGACGGUCUCCGUGCCGUAGCUAACGCAUUAAGUGCCCGCCUGGGGNGUACGCGCGAGACGAAACGUACAAGAGAGUAAGUACGGCGUUGAGACGUUGCCGAACGGCGACGACGAGGGAGGAGG